CCCGCAAAGCCGUCAGAGGGCUGUUCUCCCUGGUGCCCUGAGGUUUGCUCCUCCCAAUGUCCUUUUUCCUCCCAAUGCCCUGAGGUUUGUUCCUCUGAUCCCCCUUGUUCCUCCCAAUGCCCUAAGGUUUGUUCCUCCUGAUGCCCUAAAGUUUGUUCCUCUUGAUGCCCUGAUGUUUGUUCCCCCGAUGUCUCUUUUCCUCCCAAUGCCCUAAGAUUUGUUCCUCCUAAUGCCCUAAGGUUUGUUCCUCCCAAUGUUCUUUCUCCUCCUGAUGCCCUCAGGUUUUUUCCCCGAUCCCCCCUGUUCCUCCCAAUGCCCUAAGGUUUGCUCCUCC